AAUGGCGGUAAGCUCCAACGAGGAUAAUACGCAAUUCUCGUAUUAUCCUCGAUUUUGGUAAGCUUCAAGCCGUAUUAUCCUCAAACUUAAUCUCAGAUUUUAUUUUAAUACGCCGAUUUUGGGGUAUUAAGAUAAUCCGAGAUUUUCUGUAUGUACGCAGCCAAAUAUUAACUUGGUCUCACGCACACAUUUUAAUGGAGCAAAUGUCACUUUUUAGAUUUUGUUUUUGUUAGUUUUCUUUUGUCACCCUUUUGUCUAAAAACAUUUAACAGGAAUAUUUCCGAAUUUCCUCAAAAGCUUCCUGGAGAAGUUAAAAUUUAAAAAAUAGUGGUCAACAGAUACAUCAUAACAGCAAUGAUUUCGAGGCCAAAAAGAGCUAGAACCGCUGGAACGCAUCUGCUGGAGAUUUUCACCAUGGUCAGGAAAAAGAAACGAGGGUCCCUGCUGAAGCCGGAAAAUAGAAAAGGAGACACCUGUGACACAGACGGUUGUACUGAUGCUGUACAACGAGUGAAAAAAUGAGAUGAAUCCGAUUGCUGAAAUGACAUGUAAAUCUCGAAGAAUGUGUAUAUUAUAAUGCUAUAGGCAUGGAUUGUAAAUGAAUACGUGCAUCUGCUCUACUGCGAGCAAAAAUC